rnacentral:rRNA from 1 species
AUUGAACGCUGGCGGCAGGCUUAACACACGCAAGUCGAGCGGGGAAAGGUAGCUUGCUACCUGACCUAGCGGCGGACGGGUGAGUAAUGCUUAGGAAUCUGCCUAUUAGUGGGGGACAACAUUCCGAAAGGAAUGCUAAUACCGCAUACGCCCUACGGGGGAAAGCAGGGGAUCUUCGGACCUUGCGCUAAUAGAUGAGCCUAAGUCAGAUUAGCUAGUUGGUGGGGUAAAGGCCUACCAAGGCGACGAUCUGUAGCGGGUCUGAGAGGAUGAUCCGCCACACUGGGACUGAGACACGGCCCAGACUCCUACGGGAGGCAGCAGUGGGGAAUAUUGGACAAUGGGCGAAAGCCUGAUCCAGCCAUGCCGCGUGUGUGAAGAAGGCCUUUUGGUUGUAAAGCACUUUAAGCGAGGAGGAGGCUACUUGGAUUAAUACUCUAGGAUAGUGGACGUUACUCGCAGAAUAAGCACCGGCUAACUCUGUGCCAGCCGCCGCUGUAAAAC